rnacentral:rRNA from 1 species
GACGAACGCUGGCGGCGUGCUUAACACAUGCAAGUCGAACGGAAAGGCCCUGCUUUUGUGGGGUGCUCGAGUGGCGAACGGGUGAGUAACACGUGAGUAACCUGCCCUUUACUUUGGGAUAACUUCAGGAAACUGGGGCUAAUACCGGAUAGGAGCUCCUGCUGCAUGGUGGGGGUUGGAAAGUUUCGGCGGUUGGGGAUGGACUCGCGGCUUAUCAGCUUGUUGGUGGGGUAGUGGCUUACCAAGGCUUUGACGGGUAGCCGGCCUAAGAGGGUGACCGGCCACAUUGGGACUGAGAUACGGCCCAGACUCCUACGGGAGGCAGCAGUGGGGAAUAUUGCACAAUGGGCGGAAGCCUGAUGCAGCAACGCCGCGUGCGGGAUGACGGCCUUCGGGUUGUAAACCGCUUUCGCCUGUGACGAAGCGUGAGUGACGGUAAUGGGUAAAGAAGCACCGGCUAACUACGUG